rnacentral:rRNA from 1 species
GGGUAAAAUCCGUAGAUAUCACUAGGAAUAUCAAAAGCGAAGGCGAUCUGCUGGGAUGAUACUGACGCUCAGGCACGAAAGCGUGGGGAGCAAACAGGAUUAGAUACCCUGGUAGUCCACGCCCUAAACGAUGAAUGCUAGUCGUCGGGGUACUCGUGACUUCGGUGAUGCACUUAACAGAUUAGUCAUAUCCGCCUGGGGAAUUACGGUCGCCAAGAAUUAAAACUCAAAGGAAUUAAACGGGGAACCCGCCAAAACUGGUGGAAGCUUGUGGUUUAAUUCGAAGAUACACGAAGAACCUUACCUGGACCUUGACAUGGUAGGAACCCUGUAGAGAUAUGGGGGUGCUAGCUUGAUAGAACCUACACACAGGUGCUGCACGGCUGUCGUCAGCUCGUGUCGUGAGAUGUUGGGUUAAGUCCCGCAACGAGCGCAACCCUCGUCAUUAGUUGCUAACAGUUGGGAUGAGCACUAUAACGAGACUGC